rnacentral:rRNA from 1 species
UACAGAGGUCUCAAGCGUUGUUCGGAUUCAUUGGGCGUAAAGGGUGCGUAGGCGGCGCGGUAAGUCGGGUGUGAAAUCUCGGAGCUUAACUCCGAAACUGCAUUCGAUACUGCCGUGCUUGAGGACUGGAGAGGAGACUGGAAUUUACGGUGUAGCGGUGAAAUGCGCAGAUAUCAGGAGGAACACCGGUGGCGAAGGCGGUUCUCUGGGCAUGAUCUGACGCUGAGGAGCGAAAGUGUGGGGAGCGAACAGG